AACCAAGACCCCAAGCAGCCAAAAUAAAUAAUAAAAUAUUAUUUUAAAAAGCAUAGAGACAGGUGGUGCAGCUGAUGGCGAUUCCAUAUUGCGUCAUCACUGUCCCAGGAGCUAUCUUUCUACUCCUUUAUCCAUAAGGUCCAUAAACAGCUCCAACUAUGGUGUCUCAGGCAGAAAGAGGAUGGGGAACAAAAAACAUGCAAGGUGGUUCAGCCCCACUUUUUAACUCUCCCCAAAGCAUCAGUCACGAUAUCUUGUUUCGACAAGAAGGUUCUCACCCUGCUAACUCUGCAUGCAAAGGAGACUUGGAGAUGUGCUUUUUUGUUUUAAGCUGGGGGCAUUGGCAUCCCCAACAAAAUCAGAAUUCUUUUAGGUGGAGAGGAAUAAACAGAUAAAAGAUGGAAGAAGCAAGAGGAACACAUUUUCUUCCCCAGAAACACUGCGCUUCUCGGGACUAUGGACCUAAAAAAGCUGUGGCAAUACAAAGAUGUGAAGAGAUGAAUAAGAUAAGACUCUCAACCUUGGUCACAGUCGUAGUUCUAAUAUCAUCAAAUUAAUGUGAUGAGGAGCAAUCUUCUCUAGGAAGAUUGGCUUAUCAGGUUUGCUAAUCUACAGAGAGUCAAGUCUCGAGUUACUGUACUCACUCUCCUUUGAGAUAAAUACUUUUUAAUUGAAGUCACUUGGCUAGCCUAAUGAUUCAUACUACUUUUAGUAACGAGAUUGAUGAUCAUCAAUUUAGUUAAUGACAUUUUUAUAGCAAGAAUGUGGACAUUGUGCUCACUAAAAAUUAAAAAUGUGUCUCCUCUGCCUCACUCCCCGGCCGUUUGAACAGUGCCUUUUCCUAGGGCUCAGGACCCUGCGGUCCACCUCUUCAACUUGCUGUCACUCUGCAGAGACGAGCGGCCUCUGCCUCAAUUCUGCACCAUAGCUGUCCUAUCGAUCUCUCCUCUGAUAGGAGGCGUUCGUGUCUGGAAAAAGUUUUAAGAUAAAAGUAAGUUGACAGAAAUUACAUCUAUUACUUUGAUCUGAAUAUGUUUUCUUUUUCCUUUUAAUAGAACAUUAGAUCUCCAUAGCUGGGGAAGGAUCUAACACUUCACCUAGUCGGAAAGUUGUUUACUAGACCCCCUGCCACAAGAAGGACUUCCCUGCUGGCUCAGAAGCUGAAGGAAGAUGCGCUUUGGAGAGAAGACCCAAAUUCAUACUGAAGAAAGAGCUGCUGGCAGGUCUCUCCCAGAACACCUCCCUUGGGCUUCGUCAUUAAAAUUCAGCUGAACGCUGAUGCUUUUUGUCUCCACAGGCUCCACCUCUGCUUUCUUUCCUCGCCAGGUUUUCAGUGCUGUGAAAUGGCCUCUCAUUUAUGCUGUCAUACUAAAUAUAAAAUGUAAACUAGGGGUAAAUUCACAUCAGUGUUUACGGGAAGUGUCACAUACCUGUCAUAGGAUAUGAGCUAGAAAAAUUUUGAGAUGGGGCACUUUGGGGUUUUCAGUUGCCUUGUUUAUUAAAAACUUAAAAGCAAAAGCACAUACAAAACAAAAGAUUUAUAAAGAAAAAGUUCAUCUUU